ACUAGGUGUCAUUUCUUUGCAUAUUAGAUGUUUAUAUAGUAUAGAACAAAACUUUAAUAAAAGUUUGUUUUAUUUUCAGUUCUUUUACUAAAGCACAAAUUAAAUAUCAGAAUGUAUAUAGUGAAAAAGAAAAAAUCGUUGAACCUGAAGACAAAUUAGCUUUUCAAAGUUACAAACCAGAUUUUCUGCGAGUGAUAAUUCUAGAACUUUCAGCAGUGGGAUACACUGAUUCUGGAGGUGUUUCUAUGCUUUUGCAAGUGAUGAGAGAAUUUGCAGUAAACAAUAUUGUGAUAUAUUUAGCCUGUAUUCAAGAACCAGUUCUUGAAAGUUUAGAAAGUCAAGGAUUUUUCAACAAUGUGAGCAAAGAGUUUUUAUUUCCAACAGUUCAUGAUGCAGUAUUAUAUGCACAGAGUGAAUGCUUUGCCUCACAGCAGGAUUGCACAUAGUGAUAUUAUCGUAUGAUUGCGAGUAUAUUUAUAUUUUGUAUAUUACUGUACAAAUGGAUUUUAUAUUUUUAGUUUCAGACUAAAAAUGAUUUAAAUAUCUAAUUUUCUACAAUGUAGAAAUUAUUUUUCGAACAUUUCAAUUGCUGAAAAGCAGCAUGAACUAGAAAUGAUGAACUAAAAGAGGAGUACAUACCUAUUUGUCAACCUAAGUGUGAGCAUGUGCAUAAUGUGUGUUGAUGAAAUUGUUAUCUAGUCAAAUAUAGAUUAAAGAAAUUUUUAUAAGA